rnacentral:rRNA from 1 species
UGAGGAAUAUUGGUCAAUGGACGCAAGUCUGAACCAGCCAAGUAGCGUGCAGGAUGACGGCCCUAUGGGUUGUAAACUGCUUUUAUAUGGGGAUAAAGUGGGAAACGUGUUCCCUUUUGCAGGUACCAUAUGAAUAAGGACCGGCUAAUUCCGUGCCAGCAGCCGCGGUAAUACGGAAGGUUCGGGCGUUAUCAGGAUUUAUUGGGUUUAAAGGGAGCGUAGGCCGUUUGGUAAGCGUGUUGUGAAAUGUAGGAGCUCAACUUCUAGAUUGCAGCGCGAACUGUCAGACUUGAGUGCGCACAUCGUAGGCGGAAUUCAUGGUGUAGCGGUGAAAUGCUUAGAUAUCCUGAAGAACUCCGAUUGCGAAGGCAGCUUACGGGAGCGCAACUGACGCUGAAGCUCGAAGGUGCGGGUAUCGAACAGG